GGUUGCAUGGCAAAAAACCUAUUUUUUCUCUCUCGACUAAAACCUAAAACCAGCCGCCGUCCAUCCAGAUAUGUUUUCCGCUUGCCCUCUCCGGUGACCGGCGCUCCUCGUCGCAGCCGUGAGAGGGUACCCAGUAGUUCCCUUUUCGUUUAGUUGUUGUUUCCUUCGAUUCGUCUUACCUCUGGUGGUUAAGUAGAGAGGAGUUGUCAGGUUGACGGUGGUUCAUCUCGGCGAGCUUUAGAGGCAUGGCAGGUGGUCAGCUUCUCCAGAGAGAGUUGUCGUUCUGGGCUUCCGAGAUCUGUAGAUCUAAUGGUUGCUCUGUCUUAGAAAAGGAUUUGCGAAUCGGUGACCUUUUGUCUCGCUCCAGCUCCUUGGUCCGGCCUACAAGUUCUUAUGUGUCCUUUAGAGUUCUCUUUGGGUUCACUCUGGUUCGAUCUUCCGCUGUCCUUGUUUGUGAUUGGUGGUGUCCAGUUUGGAUUGUUCGCUCCUAGUCUCUGCUUUUCAGAUCUGUUCGAGGUCUGGUCCUAUGGGUUUUGCUUCUACCUAGGUGCAAAAAAGUCGCCUUGUAUACGACAUCGCCGUAUCCGGAAGAAGUGUGAAGAACUAAGUGGUUCUGUCUUUGCGGAUUAUGAAGAUUACCAUAGGAGUUCUGUUACUUUAGGCAGUUUCUUAGAGGAGGAAUGGAUUUUCGAAGGUUGGCCGAGGGCAUCUUCGUUUU